CCUUUUUUGUUUUACCCUUCUAUUUUCAAAUAUCCCCAUAUUACCCUUUGCAAAUGUGAAAAGGAAGAAUGAAGAUGUAAGGUUACGCCAUUUUUCCCCUAAACGGAGCACGAAGAAGAAGAGGAAGAGAAAGUGAGAGAGAAUGGCGAAGCGUUUUGGGACAAUCGGAGUUCUUCAGGAGGAGGAGCGAGUGGAGGAAGCAUCCAAGGCUCAGCAAUCAGCUCUGUCAUGCCCUUCUCGGUCUUAGCCUCAGAGUCGACGAGCUCGUCUACAACAAACUCCUCCUUCCUCUUCUUCUUCUACUUCUUCUUCUUCUCACCACUCUUCCCAUUCCUCUGCUUCUCACUGACUCACUGAGACAACUAAAACAAUAACCUCAUCAGGAUGAUGGAUCUGUUAUAUGUAUAUUUUCUCUUUCUGGAAGUAAUGCCCAAGAUGGACAUUUAGCCGCUGGUCGUAAUGGUGUAAAGCGCCUCAGAACUAUAAGUUCUCAUCUGUUUUACUCUUUGAUGUGACAUGAUUGAAGAAUUAAUCAACAAGGGGUACGAAAGUCGAAAUAACGCAGCUGAAAUGCAAACUCUUGUUACUAAUUGGUUGGAAAAUAUCAUGCAAGAGCGCUCAAAUAAUGCCAGAGGCUUACGUGUUAUUCCAUUGAACUUAUACAAGUUUCAAAUUGUUGGCUAUGGCAUGUUCGUUGGAGUAGUCAACUUAGAAAAUAAGACAUGCUCAUGCAAGGAAUUCGACAUUGAUGGAUUUCCUUGUGUCCAUGCAAUUGCAGCAUGUAAGCAUCGACAUAUCUCUCCAUAUUUCCUUUGCUCGGCGCAUUACUCAGUUGACUCACUCCGUGAUGCAUAUUCGGAAACCAUAUAUCCACUUGGAGAUAAAAGUCAGUGGCAUGCUCCAGAUGAUGUCAUAAACCAGGUUGUACUUCCACCUCAAAUUGGCAAACAGUCAGGAAGACCGAGAAAGAAGAGGAUUCAAUCUCAAGGAGAGGAGCGUCAUCAAUAUAGAUGCAGGAGGUGCAAACAGGUUGGUCACAACAGCCGAUCAUGCUCCGCUGCCGUACCUCUUGAUAGCACUAACAACCAACAGCACCACUGAAACGAAUGCCCAUCAAUCGCAUGAUGCUAUAUUCAGACAAUGAGGCCAUGUUAUGUGGUAUGCGUGUGUAUGAAAUGUAGUCAGGAAUGCAAUUAGUUGGUCAACCGCGUAAUGUGUGUUUUGGCGUAAUAGACGUUGGCUUUAUGUGUUCUUUUAUUGUCAAAUUCAUCUGUCAUAUUGUUUUGAUAACAUAUCAUUCCAUCUUCA